rnacentral:misc_RNA from 1 species
GUGAAUCAUCGAAUUUUUGAACGCAAAUUGCACUCUCUUCUGAGAGUAUGCCUGUUUGAGUUUCAGCCUAAAAAAAAAUCGACAUAUUCGCUGUUUCUCGGUUACAUUCGGCGUAAAUUUGGUCAUCUUAAACCUUUGGGUUUUAAGCGUCUUAAAAUUUUCUUUACGAUUCAACGAACGUUUCUAAAAUUUACUUCUUAUACUUUUAAGGUAUCGAUCUUUAUUAGACGUUUCCAAUACAUGGUAU